UAGAUCCCGACGUCGCCAUUGCGCUCUCACAGCCCCCUAGGGCACGAUCGGAUUUCAGUUCGAUGAGCGCGGCAGGGCGAGCGCGGGAAUUUACUUUUGGUCGCGCCCUCGCAUAAUAAAUACCAGUCCUUUCCUUUCGCCUCUUCACCUUUCUUGUAUCGGAGACGAAAAUGGGGAGAAAGAAGAGAACCAGGGCUGCAGAAGAAGGCGAACGCGAGGAGCAAGGAAUCCGAGGAAGCGAGGCAUCCACCGCCACAGAGAAGAGCUUGUACGAGAUUCUUGGUGUAGAGAGAACUGUAACUCAACAGGAAAUAAAGAAGGCAUACUACAAGUUGGCUUUGCGUCUCCAUCCAGACAAAAAUCCUGGUGAUGAGGAAGCUAAAGAGAAAUUCCAGCUCUUGCAAAAAGUGAUAUCUGUUCUUGGGGAUGAGGAGAAAAGGACGAUUUAUGAUCAGACUGGUUGUGUUGAUGAUGUUGCCUUAUCCGGGGAAGCUGCUGAAAAUCUACAGGAGUUUUUCAGAUCAAUGUUUAGACAGGUGACUGAGGCUGAUAUUGAAGAAUUUGAAGCUAACUACAGAGGAUCAGAUUCUGAGAAGAAGGAUUUGAAGGAUCUCUACACUAAAUUCAAGGGAAAUAUGAACAGGCUUUUUUGUUCAAUGCUUUGUUCUGAUCCGAAGCUGGAUUCACACCGAUUCAAGGAUAUCAUUGAUGAAGCGAUAGCUGAAGGUGAACUGAGAACGACAAAAGCAUAUCAAAAAUGGGCAAAACUAGUGUCUGAAACCAAGCCACCUACAGAUCCUAUAGCAAAAAGGGGAAAGAAGAAGAAGCAACCAUCAACAGAUCUAGUUGCCAUCAUUUCACAGCGUAGUAGCCAGAGGAAAGAGCAGUUUAACUCUAUACUCUCAUCCAUAAUGUCUAAGUACAAUGGGGAAGUUACUCCAGAACCAACAGAAGAAGAGUUUGAGAAGGCCCAGCAAAGGCUUGAAAGCAAGCAGGCAAAAAGACGGAAACCCUAAUGAAGCAAUGCUGUGGAGUCUUCUCUGGUGACAGUUCUAACUGGAACCUGGUCCUAUGUGAGGUAUCGGUGUUAUCAAGAAUGGUUGAUAGCUGAAGUUAACAGUUCUCUCGCACCUAGCGGAUCUUCUACAUACUGCCAGGAGUAAGCUGAGGGAUAAUUAUGAGAUUACUUGACUUCCUGGAAUGGUCUAUGGUUACUGUUGAAGACGUAAUGGCAGCCAGAAUUCUUGACAGCUUUCUUAACUAGUAAACCGCUUGCACGCUGCACGGGAAUCUCAGGAGAACCUAAUGAGACGAGCAUAUAUGAAAAUCUGAAUAAUUUAUGACAGAAAAAAACAUGAACUGUUUACACAUUUGAUAAUGUUGAUUAGUGUACAACUAUGUACGCUGCUAAAGUAGUAUGCAGUAUCAGGACUUACUCUGACAUGAAUCUAUAUACAAUUUGUAUUAAGUUCAAAACAAAUAAGAAAUU